UACUAGAGUAGCACUCGCAUAUCAAUAAGCGGAGGAAAAGAAACUAACGAGGAUUCCCCUAGUAACGGCGAGUGAAGCGGGAAGAGCUCAAAUUUGAAAUCUUAAAGGGUUUCCCUUUACGAAUUGUAGUUUAAAGAAGUGUUUUCUGUUGAGGUUUUGGUAAAAGUUCUUUGGAAUAGGACAUCAUAGAGGGUGAGAAUCCCGUAUUUGACCUUUACUUUCAACUUUGUGAUACACUUUCAAAGAGUCGGAUUGUUUGGGAAUGCAGUCCAAAAUGGGUGGUAAAUUUCAUCUAAAGCUAAAUAUUGGCGAGAGACCGAUAGCGAACAAGUACCGUGAGGGAAAGAUGAAAAGAACUUUGAAAAGAGAGUUAAACAGUACGUGAAAUUGUCAAAAGGGAAGCGUUUGACACCAGUGUUGUUUUUCUGAAAAUCAAUUAAAGAACUGUUUAUGCUAAGCUGUUUAGACUUUAUCAGCUAUCUGUUUAGUUUUAGGCUUUUCUUUAAUGCACUUUUCAGUUAACAAGUCAACAUCAAUUUCUUUUGCUGUAAAAAAGCUUGAGGAAGGUGGCUUGAGAUUCGUCUUAAGUGUUUAUAGCCUCUUGCCUAUGCAGUCGGAGAGAUUGAGGUCUGCAGCGUAGAUCCUUCGGGGCUAAAUGCAUUUGUGCUAAGUUAUAGCAUUUUAUAGACAACUUGUUGACUAUGAUUUGUCUUGUAGCUUACUCGCUUAUGUUAUUUUACCUACGCUUAGGAUGUUGAGCGCAUGUCUCUCUCU
rnacentral:rRNA from 1 species